GCCACUGUGGCAUAGCGGUAUUGCACCUCAUUGGUAAUGAGGAGGUCGUGAGUUCAAUUCUCACCAGUGGCU
rnacentral:tRNA from 2 species